rnacentral:rRNA from 1 species
CACGGGGGGGAGCAAGCGUUGUUCGGAAUCACUGGGCGUAAAGGGCGUGUAGGCGGUCAAGUAAGUGGAAUGUGAAAGCCCCCCGGCUUACCCGGGGAUCUGCAUCCCAAACUGCUUGGCUUGAGUACGGGAGAGGAUAGGGGAAUUCCUGGGUGUAGCGGUGAAAUGCGUAGAUAUCAGGAGGAACACCGGUGGCGAAGGCGCCUAUCUGGCCCGAUACUGACGCUGAGGCGCGAAAGCUAGGGGGAGCAAACGGG